rnacentral:rRNA from 1 species
AUUGAACGCUGGCGGCAUGCUUUACACAUGCAAGUCGGACGGCAGCACAGAGAAGCUUGCUUCUUGGGUGGCGAGUGGCGAACGGGUGAGUAACAUAUCGGAACGUACCGAGCAGUGGGGGAUAACUAAUCGAAAGAUUAGCUAAUACCGCAUAUUUUCUGAGGAAGAAAGCAGGGGACCAUUUGGCCUUGCGCUGUUUGAGCGGCCGAUAUCUGAUUAGCUAGUUGGUGGGGUAAAGGCCUACCAAGGCGACGAUCAGUAGCGGGUCUGAGAGGAUGAUCCGCCACACUGGGACUGAGACACGGCCCAGACUCCUACGGGAGGCAGCAGUGGGGAAUUUUGGACAAUGGGCGCAAGCCUGAUCCAGCCAUGCCGCGUGUCUGAAGAAGGCCUUCGGGUUGUAAAGGACUUUUGUCAGGGAAGAAAAGGAUAGGGUUAAUACCCCUGUCUGAUGACGUACCUGAAGAAUAAGCUCCG